AAAAAGGGCCUCUGUCGGUGAGUGGCACAUGUAGAGCAGCCUGAUCAAGAGAUUUUGGGAGCAUAAUUUUUUGGUACUUGGGCAGCUGGUGAUCAUUGGUCCUGGCGCCCGC
rnacentral:snRNA from 1 species